rnacentral:rRNA from 1 species
UACAGAGGUCUCAAGCGUUGUUCGGAUUCAUUGGGCGUAAAGGGUGUGUAGGUGGCGCCGUAAGUCGGGUGUGAAAUUUCGGAGCUUAACUCCGAAAACUGCAUUCGAUACUGCGGUGCUUGAGGACUGGAGAGGAGACUGGAAUUCAUGGUGUAGCAGUGAAAAAUGCGUAGAGAUCAUGAGGGAAGACCAGUGGCGAAAGGCGGGGUCUCUGGGACAGUUUCCUGACACUGAGACACGAAGGCCAGGGGGGAGCAAAACGGG